rnacentral:tRNA from 1 species
GCAUUAAUGGGGUAGUGGUAACCUGGGUCGUUGCCAUUCGAGUUAAUCUCGAUCCGCCGGGGGUUCGAUUCCCUCUUAAUGCA